rnacentral:rRNA from 1 species
AUUGAACGCUGGCGGCAUGCCUUACACAUGCAAGUCGAACGGUAACAGGUCUUCGGAUGCUGACGAGUGGCGAACGGGUGAGUAAUACAUCGGAACGUGCCCGAGAGUGGGGGAUAACGAAGCGAAAGCUUUGCUAAUACCGCAUACGUUCUCAGGAUGAAAGCAGGGGACCGCAAGGCCUUGCGCUCACGGAGCGGCCGAUGGCAGAUUAGGUAGUUGGUGGGAUAAAAGCUUACCAAGCCGACGAUCUGUAGCUGGUCUGAGAGGACGACCAGCAACACUGGGACUGAGACACGGCCCAGACUCCUACGGGAGGCAGCAGUGGGGAAUUUUGGACAAUGGGCGAAAGCCUGAUCCAGCCAUGCCGCGUGCAGGAUGAAGGCCUUCGGGUUGUAAACUGCUUUUGUACGGAACGAAAAGACUCUGGUUAAUGCCUGGAGUCCAUGACGGUACCGUAAGAAUAAGCACCGGCUAACUACGUGCCAGCCGCCGCCGUAAUAC